UAAACUGCGGUUCCUCUCAGAUUCCAAACACUGACCCGGCGCAACAAGCAUGUGGCAGGGUCCCUGGUUCGUGGUGCUGAUUUUCAGCUGUCGAAGUGUGGCUCAGACCCUGACCCAGCCUAAAGCAUCGAUUACGGUACCUGCCGGGAAAACUGCGCGAAUACGGUGUCAAGUGCAUGGAGGCUCUGUCAGCAGCAGUUCUCCCCUUCACUGGUACCAACAGAAACCCGGCAAGCCUCCUCAAAGGAUACUCUAUUUUGGAGGUGAUGUAAAGCGGGAUCCGGAAUUCGGGAUAUCCUUCAACGCGGGAAAGUCGACUGAUUCCGAGUUCUAUCUCACAAUCGAAGUUAGCACUGAAAGCGCUGCCACCUAUUACUGCGCCUACUGGGUUUACACAGUAUGUAAUAGAAGGCAAACUCCGCACAAAAAGCUCGACGAACAGCCAAGUCAACGGGAACCGUUGAUCCGGAGGCUGCAGCGACCUCCAGCUAAACUUGCGCUUACCCAUAUCUGCCGGGCAGGAGUUCGGGUCUGCGCAAGUGGUCUGCGCAUCAGCACGUUCGCAAUUCCUUUAGAAAGGUGGGCAGUUUUCCGCUUUAGGGACGAGGCGCAGCCAUGGUGUUCCCAUUCCUCGGUCGCCCCCUGUGGAAUGUUAGGAACCAUGCUGGCCCACUGUUAG